rfam:Nematostella vectensis strain CH2 x CH6 NEMVEscaffold_62_Cont9049, whole genome shotgun sequence.
AAAACGGCUCUUUUAAGAGCCACCACAUAAGACGAAAGUCAACCAU